AUGCUGAACCGGCCCUUCACCGACGGCGCGUAUCCCUCCGGCUUCACCUUCGGCAGCUACUACAUGAUCUGGGUGCGCCAGAGCCCCGGGAAGGGGCUGGAAUGGCUCGCUUCGAUCAGCACUGGUGGUGGUUACACCUACUACGCGCCGUCGGUGAAGGGCCGGUUCAGCAUCGCCAGGGACAACGGGCAGAGCUCGGUGACGCUGCAGAUGAACAACCUCAGGGACGAGGAUUCCGCCACCUAUUUCUGUGCCAGGGAUGAUGAUGGUAGUGCUAGUUGGGGUGGUGAUAUCGACCCCCUUGGUGGGGUCCCCAAACCUCCCCAGACUCUCCCCUCAAAGCUCCGCCCCUCCCACCCAAAUCUGAACCGAUGA